rnacentral:rRNA from 1 species
GACGAACGCUGGCGGUGUGCCUCACACAUGCAAGUCGAGCGGAUUUACUUAGGAGCUUGCUCUUAAGUAAGUUAGCGGCGGACGGGUGAGUAAUGCGUAGGAAUCUACCCUAAGGUAGGGGAUAACGGGCUGAAAGGUCCGCUAAUACCCCAUAUGCGGGUUCUCUUCGGAGGAUUCGUGAAAGGAGCAAUUCGCCUUUGGAUGAGCCUGCGUCCGAUUAGCUAGUUGGUGAGGUAACGGCUCACCAAGGCAACGAUCGGUAACUGGUUUGAGAGAACGACCAGUCACACUGGGACUGAGACACGGCCCAGACUCCUACGGGAGGCAGCAGUGGGGAAUCUUGGACAAUGGGGGCAACCCUGAUCCAGCGACGCCGCGUGUGUGAAGAAGGCCU